rnacentral:lncRNA from 1 species
GCAGUAAUGAUUUUCUAGAUUAAUGUGUAGGGGAAGGAUUAAUGUUUUAAAAAUAUGAAGUCUUUCCAGAACACAGAGCGUGUUUCCCAUUUUUCUCAGAAUUUUUACAUCUUCCAGUAAAAUUUUUUUUCAUUUACAUGUAUAUUUUUUAAAGUUUCUUCUUACAUUUAAAAAAACUACUUAUGAAUUUGUUUUAAUUCCUAUUUUCCUAAAAUAUAUUCUUCAGUAAUCUGUUAAUUUUUGUUUUUUUAUCUCAUCUGUAGCUAUACUGCUGAAUUUAGCUAGUCAGAGUACUUUGUUAUUUAGGUGUCUGGGAUUUUCUAGUUAGUUGGUCAUAUCUGCAAAUGCGUUUUUAUAAUUUUAAGGAUGGCUUUUUUCUUUUUAUUUCAGUAGCUAAUAAUUGUAGGUAUCCUGUUUCUUUACUGACUGUAAUGGGAAAUAGCAUCGUGGCUGCUGGGGUUUCUAGUAGAUGACCCUUAUCAAAUUAAGGACAUUUCUUUUUCUUCUUGAUUUGCUAAAAGAUCUCUUCCCCCAUCCACCCACCUCCACUGCCAAUCUCCCCCCCUCCCCCAAGGGAUAGGUGUGGAAUUUAUUCAGUGAGUUUUUGAGGAGUUAAAAAACAAUCAGUUUUUUACUUACCUGUUAAUUUAUUUUUUUAAAGAUGUAAUUUAUUCAUGAGAGAGACGGGGGGAGAGAGAGAGACAGGCAGAGGGAGAAACAGGCUCCAUUCCAUGCAGGGAGCCUGACGUGGGAUUCGAUCCUAGGUCUCCAGGACCACACCCUGGGCUGAAGGCAGCGCUAAACUGCUGAGCCACCUGGGCUGCCCGUCUGUUUAUUUUAUUUUUUAAAGGUUUUAUUUAUUAAUGAGAGACACGGGGGAGGGGGGGGCGGGCAGAGACACAGGGAGAGGGAGAAGCAGGCUCCAUGCAGGGAGCCUGACGUGGGACUUGAUCCCAGGUCUCCAGGAUCAGGCCCUGGGCUGAAGGCAGGCGCCAAACCGCUGAGCCACCCGGGCUGCCCCCAUCUGUUAAUUUUAAUGGAGUGAAUGAUGCUAAUAUUUUCCGUGAACUACCCUUCAAUAAUUUGUAUAAAACGGGUUAAUGUUCUUUUAAGAGUGAUUGAUUCGUUUAGGUUUGUUUAUUUAUUUAUUUAUUUAUUUAUUUAUUUAUAAGAUUUUUAUUUAUUUUUUCAUGACAGACACAGAGACCGGCAGAAACAGGCAGAGGGAGAAGCAGGCUCCACACAGGGAGCCUGACGUGGGACUCGAUCCUGGGUCUCCAGGAUCAGGCCCUGGGCUCAAAGUGGCGCUAAACCGCUGAGCCACUCGGGCUGCCCCUAGGAUUUAUUAUAUAUGUUCAUAAAUGAAAUUGACUUCAUUUUCUUCUGUUUAUGUCUAGUUUUAGAAACCAUUAGGAUAACCUUAUAAAGUCAGUUGAAUUAGCCUUUCAGGUUUUUCUGUCUUGUCGAACAGUGUAUAUAAUAGUAUCCUCUGUUUAUUGACAGUCUGGUAAGUGUUCCUAUAAAACUGUGGGUAUUUUCAAGUGUUUUUCCUGCCCUCACAGUUUCUUCUUUAGUUAUUAUCUAUUCAUGUUCUCUACUUUUUAUUAAAUUCAUAUUUUUGGAGAAAACCAGCCAGUUUUCCUAGAUUUAAAAAAAAUUACUUUUCUGUCCAGCUAUGCUCUGUUUAGUGUGUAUAUAAUGUAUAAUAUUUAUAUACACAUUCUAAAUACUGGAUAUCAUACAUAAAAUCUUCUGAGAUGCAACCACUUUUUUAUUCUUAAUACUUUAUUUGGCAUGAAGUGGGGAGUUAUCCUUGAUUUAGAUUGCCCAAGAUCUUUUUUUUUUUUAAACUAGACUUUAGUUAAAAAACAUUGAGCAAUGUUUUCACUAUUUCAUUACUUACUGUUCUUAAAUUUAGUGUGUAAAAUUCUACCUAAUUUGGAUUUAUUUUGUACCUAAGAGCUUUUUGAGUUGAAUCUACCUCAAUACUAAGUACAUUCCUGGUUCUAUAAUAAUAAUAAUAGGGUUGACCUUAGAAAAAUACUAUUUUAGUAGAGAUGGAACAAGAACUUUUUUUCCCAAGAUUUUUAUUUAACUUAUUUGAGAGUGAGAGCAUGAGCAAGCAACAGAAGGAAAGUCUCUAAGCUUUAGCCUGAUAUUAGCUCAUUUGAUGACAGAUAAGUCCUAUCACUUCCACUUCAGCCAAAAUGGCUCUGCUUUGACCUGGUUUGGUUCUCCUGAGAUGUGAUUUGAAAGUAGGGCUCCUUGGCUAAAACCACUUGAGAUGCCUGUUGAAUUUUAAAUAUUAAAUAAUCUGGUGGGUUUUUUUAAUCCUUUUAUCUCUUUAAACAUUCUCAACCUAUUUCAUUUUAUCCUAUACUUUUUAGGCUUUUCUGGAAUUCUUGUUCUGAUUUUGUUGGCUAUCUUUCUUAGCAUUGAAUUUCCUUGUGUGUUUUGGAGUUUUGGUAUGCAGGCUCAUGGGUUUUUUUUGUUUGUUUCCCUUUUCCAUCCUCUCUGGUGUUUGCCUCCCUUAGGAACUCCAGGAUCUCAGUCUAAAUCCAGGUAUCUGAUCACACCUGGUUAUUAAUAACCGUAAAGAGAGUGGGAGCAUUGUACCCCAUCCCAGAGUCACCUGGUAGCAUCAUUUUGAUUUCCAGUCCAAGGAGGUUUUGCUCUUUUAUUUUUAUUUUCUCUUAUGAUUUCCCCAUUCUACCUGUGUAUUUGGAGCAAAGAUUUGUUUAGUGUUUUGUUUUGGUACAGACUUACCAAAUCAUCCUGUAGUAUUAAAAAUUCCCACCAUCCCAGGGGAUUGUGGUAUAGGUUCCUCAUCCUCAGAGGUCACCAGAGUUAAUACGUGUGGUGUGUGUGGUGGUUUAUGGUUGUCUAGCUGCCCAGUGACCGCCUACUUUUGGGAGCAGUAUUUUGGUGGGGGCAGGGGAUGUUCUCUCUUCCCUGUUGGGUACAGUCUUUUGAGACCUGUAAAAUAAAGCAGCAUCCUAUCCCCUAGCCAAGGGCUAGGUGUAUGAAUAAAACCAGACCAGCUGAGCCCUGGACUGUUUCCUGGAUCACUUAGACUGUUUCCCUUCUAGAACAAUUUUAGUUCCUGCAAUGAAACCCAUAGGAUCUUCCUGCCUACUCCUUUGGACCUAUGCUAAGGUCUUUCCCUUCAAUUCUGUGAGAUCAUCUACAUCCCUCUAGUAAUUCCUCUUUUCUAAUAUUAGAGGCAAAUUUUGUUGCCUAACACCCAGGAAAACAUGACUGAUGGACCAUACACUCUUAGAGAUGUGUAUGCACCUACAGCCAUGUAAAUGCUCAAAUAUGAUUUUUACGUAACUAUGCUUUACAGUAGCUUGUAUUUCAGACACUUUGUGUACUUGGGAUUAAACAAAAAGAAUUAAUUCAAGUAGGCUCUAAUCUGACUUAGUAUGGGGAUAAAUGAAAGACAGAUAGGCCAUAUCUCAGUUAACCAGGCAAGUGUCUUGGUGAAUCAGGACCCCAGCUUGUGCUGCUGCUGCCCUGUGAACAGUGUGGCACUCCUAAAGUGGCUUCUGUCUGUUCUCUUGGAUGCUCUAUUUCCCCUGUCAUCUCCCAGCCUUGUCUCUGGCCAUCCUGAACCAAGCCCUCAUCUCGUUACACCGCUCUACUCACUGUCUCAGGAUGCACACUCUCUUCUUGGUGUCUGCUUUUCCUGUUGUUUAUUUCCCUUUUCCUUCCUGUAAGACCAGCUCAAUGACCUGAAGCCUUUCUGAAUAGCCUACAGGGCAGUGCCUGUCCUCCCACCCCCUAAAUUCCCAGAGUAGCUGACAUUUGUUCGUUGCUUGCCAAGUUACUUGUGUGUUUGAGUCAGGAUAUAAAGAACACUGACAUUGCUUUGACAGCAUGUCAGAGAGACUUAUUGCCAUGCUUGAUACUCAUAUACUUGCCUUCUGUCUUCUGCGUGCCCAUCAUGGCAUUAUAUUCACACUGUUUCAUCCAUUAAGUGAGCAGAUCCCAUACUCAUGCAGGAUACUUAUUUCAUUACCCAACACCAAAGGUAAGGAGGAAGCCAGCUGCCCAAAAAAUAAACUUUUGCCUCAGAAACAUUCUGAAGCUAAUUUUUUCCAUGGCUGGUUCUAGUUGUUUAAGGAGCUGUCAGAAACUGUGAGUUGUGAAUUGGAGAGACCAAGAUCUUGCAUGUCCUCAAGGACGGGGGCCUGGACCUCUGGUUACAGAUCUGGCCCUAUAGGUGCUCUAAGGUGGCAAAGUAUAUAUUUUGACUCUGAAGAGUAUUCAUCAUGUUCAUAAAGGGAGGUGAGGUUGCUCAUGUUUGUCUUGGCUGGCCAGCCAGCUUACAAGCGUUAUUUGCUCAUGGUGGCAAUCACAGAGGGCCUUUGCCCAAGAUACCAGUUUUUCUCCCCUCUGGCUUCAUUGCUUCCCUUGGGCAGAAAGAACCCAGAAGAUCUGUUCCUGGAAAGUAGGGGCCAGUAUGUAUCCUGUAAACUGUCAACUUAUUUGGGAGUUUAAAAAGCAUACUAAAAUAGGGAUCCAAAUACUAUUUGGCUUCAGUAGUUUGGAACCUAUACUCUCACAUAACAAA